UACGUAGGGUCCGAGCGUUGUCCGGAAUUAUUGGGCGUAAAGAGCUCGUAGGUGGUGUGUCGCGUCGGAUGUGAAAGCCCGGGGCUUAACCCCGGGUCUGCAUUCGGUACGGGCAUGCUGGAGUUCGGUAGGGGAGACUGGAAUUCCUGGUGUAGCGGUGAAAUGCGCAGAUAUCAGGAGGAACACCGGUGGCGAAGGCGGGUCUCUGGGCCGAUACUGAUACUGAGGAGCGAAAGCGUGGGGAGCGAACAGG
rnacentral:rRNA from 1 species